AUCGCUUUUCGGCCUAUUGGCUAAGAUCAAGUGCCGUGUAGGUUCUUAUCAGUUUUAUAUCUGAUACUUCCCCUAUCCGGGGACCAUAUAUUAAAUGGAUUUCUCAGUACAUGGGCCGAUGUGGAAGCUUGCUUCCGUUGCCCCAUACAUUGACCCGCUGUGGUGGUAUCUUCGGGUACAGUACACACACA